GAUAGAGUUAAGCAGUACUGAACCCCAG
rnacentral:piRNA from 1 species